UACGUAGGGGGCAAGCGUUGUCCGGAAUCAUUGGGCGUAAAGAGCGUGUAGGCGGUCCGAUAAGUCCGCUCUGAAAGCCCGGGGCUCAACCCCGGGAGGCGGGCGGAUACUGUCGGGCUAGAGUCCGGAAGAGGCAAGUGGAAUUCCUGGUGUAGCGGUGAAAUGCGCAGAUAUCAGGAGGAACACCGAUGGCGAAGGCGGUUCUCUGGGCAUUACCUGACGCUGAGGAGCGAAAGUGUGGGGAGCGAACAGG
rnacentral:rRNA from 1 species